UCGAUGCUCGGGCAGUUGCUGUUGGACCGUCGCACGUAACGCACGCUGCAGCGGAACUACUGGGUUGUCGUUCGGAUCGGAAUUCGCAUCGAGUUUGGGCUUCGGUUUCGGCUGCUUUCGGACUAAUCGGUCGGUUUGGUCCGCUUGAUCGGUUGCCCAACUGCAAACUCGGCGGCCUGCAUUCGGCACUUGUGAUUGAUGGACUGCAGUUGCUCCGCAAACUCUGACCUCUGAGCCCGGACAAUCAUCAGGUUCUGUGACUUGAGCGCCCUGCUUUUUAUGAGGGUCGUCUCGCUGACCGAUUCCAAAAACGACCAUAAACGGAGAAUAUAUCAAAUAAAAAGUCCAAUUUCGGUUUUUUUUGUUGCCGGUUUUCGAUUUAGCAUUUCGCAUUUCUCGAGCUUGUCGACGUCGUGUGCGCGGUCUUCAUAAAUUAUAAAAGAGCGCAUUUCGCGAACGACUUGCAAAUAAAUAAGCAUUUACGCUUUUAUUAUUGCCCGGCGUGUGUGUGUUCGUUGUUGGUGAGAGUGUGUGUGUUUUUGGAGCGGGAGCCGCAGUUCCUCGGAAAAAGCUCCCAUGUGGCGCAAGCCGGAGGAAUAAAAUAAAACCGAACCGAGCGCUCCCCACUUAAAAUAUCAUCUUUGCAUACAAUCAACAUCUAGCCAUAAAAGUGUCUUCGUCCUAUGAGCAUUUCGGGAUCCGCUCUGAUUUGUGUGUGCUGAUAAGCCAGUGAUUGCCCCAAUCCGCGCUCCUCGCAGCCCCACAUAAAGAUAUCUGAAGCAGAAAAUGCUUAGCUGUCUCGGAGACACCGCGGCGUAUACUUAAUCUUGUCAACGGGCCAAAGCACGGCUAAGCAAACAUGAACUGCCUCUGUCGCCCAUCACGGAUUAUGUCCGUGCGCAUUAAUUUGCUGGAUGAAACCGAGUUCAUACACGAGAUCAAGGAUGAUUUGCCCGGCCAGGCUCUGCUGGAUGUCGUCUUCGCCAGGCUCAAUUUAAUCGAGACCUCAUACUUCGGCAUACGUUACAUAGACGAGGAGAAUCAGACGCACUGGCUCGAUCCUGCGUCGCGUAUUUCUCGCCAACUCAAGCCCAAGUCGGAUCCUUAUGACUUGUAUUUCGGUGUGAAGUUCUAUGCUGCCGAUCCCUGCAAGCUGCUGGAGGAAAUAACCAGGUAUCAACUUUUCCUGCAAGUCAAACAGGAUGUUCUGCAGGGACGACUGCCUGUGGCCUUUGAGCUGGCCGCCGAGCUGGGAGCCUUUGUGGUGCAAUCCGAACUUGGUGACUACGAUCAGCGGCGCCACUCGAAGGGCUAUGUGUCCGAGUUCCGGCUGCUUCCUAACCAGAGCAACGAGCUGGAAACCCGCGUCUCCGAGCUCCACCAGCAGCUCAAGGGAAUGUCGCCCUCCAGUGCGGAGCUCAACUAUCUGGACAAAGUCAAAUGGCACGAUAUGUACGGCGUGGAUUUGCAUCCCGUUCUGGGCGAGGACAGCGUGGAGUACUUCCUGGGCCUGACUCCGAGCGGGAUUGUCGUGCUGCGCAACAAGACGACGGUGGCUCAUUACUAUUGGCCGCGCAUUGCCAAAGUUUAUUAUAAAGGACGCUAUUUUAUGCUCAGGAUAAGCGAUAAAAAUAACGAGCUGAGCACCUACGGAUUCGAGACGCCUCGCAAGUCGGCCUGCAAGCACCUAUGGCGCUGCUGCGUGGAACACCAUGCCUUCUUCAGGCAGGUGCGAGUGGCCCCUCUGCCCAGUUCGCAGUCGCAUGCCGCCGAUUUGUUCCAACUGGGAUCGCGCUUCAGGCACAGUCGCCCGGACAAGCAAACGGAGAAGGAUGCACUUUCCGCCGGACGAUCGCCGCCUGCCUUCACCCGUACUCCCUCGAAGCGCCAGCCGCGCCGCGUGAUUGAUGACUUUUUUAACAGCAACGGCAACGGCAAUGGAAAUGGCAAUGGCCAUGGCCAUGGAGCAAGUGGCGCGGGAACAUUAGGAGGCGGCAGCCACAUGGGCAACAGGCCGCUGCCCCAGCCCGGAAUGGGCACCAUCUCCAACAACUACGACAGCCCCUAUCGCUCCACCUACAGCAUACCCACCAGCUUGGGCAUCAGACCUUGCCAUCAGCAGCAGAACAACAACUCCAGCAGCUACAACAACAACAGCGGGGGCAACCUGCAAACGCCUGACUCGCCGAGAAGCACCCGGAGUGCUCCCUGGCCGCGCUCCCAGCAGAGAUCCCUCUUCGGGCACAAUCCGUCGAGUCCGCGAUCCGUGAGAUCCGCGAGUACGGCAGGCGGUGGACUGCACCACCAUCACAGCCACCACAGCCACGGUCACGGUACCAGCCACCAUCCGCACCACCAAUCCUCGUCAGCGGGAGCCACCUCCUCGACCACGCACCACCACCGUCAGCAGCGGGCCAGCUCCUCAUCCGCCUCCCAUCAGCAGCAGAGAUACCGAUCCAGUUCCGUGGAGAGCCACUCCUCCAAUGACUCGAGGUCCACGCGCAAGCAUAAGCACCGUCAUCGCCGCACCUCAGAUAAUGAAAGCGAGCUUUCCAGAGGAUCAGGUCGUUCCGGAAGAUCAGGACGUUCGCAUCAUCGCAAGCACCGCCGUUCGCACCGGCAUCGAAGGGACUCAGCCGGAGGAUCCGAUCACGACAGCACACGUGGACGCAGCUACUCCGGUCAUCGCAGCUCCUCGAUGAGAAGUGGAAGUGCCGAGCUUAUAGACUCCACAUCGCAGUGGAGGGAAGUGCAACGACGCCAGGCGGAGGCCAGUUUGGGCCAGAGUUCCGUGCAACAGGCAGCGGUUUCCAAGAGCAGCAUGGUGGCCAGGAGUCUCCACAGCAACGAUAGCCACUCGGACACCCAUUCGCACCACAAAUCCAGAAGGCACCGCAAAAACAAAUCCCCAUCGGAAUCACGAAGCCGCAUGUGGAACAGUGAGCUGGCGAAGCACCUACAAUUCGAUCUGGUGGACACGGAGGGCAUGUCGGAGCAGCAGUUACGGGAGAUUCCCUACACGGUGGUAGAGACCACUUCGAAGAGGUCCAACUCUAACUUGAAGAUCCACAAGAGCAACAGCAAGAGCAGUGUGGGAGCCAAGAGCACGGGCUCUGGCAACACCAUUACCAAUGGCAGUGGAUCUGGAAAUGCGGGUCAGGCCAGGAAUCGCGUCGAUCGCAUCAGGGGACUUUACUAUCAAAGCACGCAUCCACACGAGGCCAACGGAGGUCCUGGAGCUGGAGGACACGCGCCGAAGAAUGGAUCCAUCCGCUCGGCCAGCACUAUAUCUUCAAGGGAGUGUGAACGGAAUAAUGGUCUAGUUAGAAUGAUGUCCAGCAUGAGCAUGGGUGACUUUAUCUCGCCCACUGGCUCCAAUCUGAGUCCUUUGGAGAACUCGGCUCUGCGGGUGUCCCACGAGCACACUGACUCUGGACUGGGAGCCGAUCAGGAUUAUGCAUACUCAUCGGAAAGAUCCAGCGACAGCACUCGCUAUGGCACCAACAAAUCCUCUGGCGCCUCGAGCGGAUCGCACCGGAAGUCGGGCGGCAGUGCCGGCGGGAACUACAACAACCUGAUGCAGCAGACCGUGAGUAACCAGCAACAGCAGCAGCGCUCGCUGUUCGCGCAGCAGCAGCGCCAGCAGAAGAGCACCUACAAAUACGCCACCUCCUCGCCAUCGUCCACUAACCCAGGGAGCUCCUCGGGACUGGCGCCCGUCCACAACGCGGGCCCGAGUUCCAAUCCCAGCUCCAGCCAAAACCCCAACAGCGCUACUAACUCUAAUCAACAGUCGCCGGCUAAUCGCCUGCUCCACUACACGACCUUUGAGAACAACCAGUACAAGUUCAGUCUGAACAAUGCGCUGGCCAAGAGCUCCAAGGGCGUGGUGAGCGGAGGAGGCAGCAUUAGCAAUCUGGCAGGCAACAUGGUAACAUCUGGUGGUGUCGGUGGUCCAGGUUCUCAAGGUGGUGGUGGUGCUUUCAGCCGGCAGCGCAGCUUCGUGGAGUGGCCCAGCAAUCCGGCGUCGCCUUACUAUUACCAAGGUCCUUCCACGCACGUGGCGCAGGUGAAGCGCCGGGAUGCCAAGUCGGAUAUUGGGGUGCCCACCCGGCGGCUCUCCGGACAGAGUCUGACCAAAACGCAACUCCUGACGGGCGGCGGGAACUCGCAGUUAGCCAAUGCAGGCUGUUAUCCGUUGCACUAUGCGAGCAGCAAUGUUUCGGGCGGGGGCUACAAUCGUCCCUCAGGUCAAAGAUCAGGUGGCAACGGCUCCUCCUCCGGGGGUUUUGGUCUUCAGCCAGCCAAAUCGGACCUCUUCUUAUCCUACAUCCACGGCGGGGAGUACGAAAGACCCUACAUUUACAACUACAAGAUGCCGCAGAUGCCGGGUGGAGCCGGGGCAGCAGCUGGAGCAGGAGCAGGAACGGGAGCAGUGGGCUCCCCGAAACAACAGACCACCGCUUACCACAUUUCUGGGUCGCAGACCGCAGAUCCGCCGCCACCCCCUCCUCCUCUGUACGGCGGCACGGCGCCCGCCAACGACGUCAUGUACUAUCAGUUCGACAAAGGAGCCGCCGUCGCUGCCGGACCUCCUUCCACGUCGUCCUCGUCGCCGCCCAUUGUCCAGCAGCCGCGGCAAACGGGCGGUCCAUUAGUGUAUCUGCAACAUGGCCAGAAUCCAUCUGUGCCCGAGGUGCAGCAGUCAACUACGCACUCCUCGCACUCCUGCAGCGAGGAGGACGAGGCCAUGAUUGUCCUGGAGGCCCUGCAGAUGGAGGCGCAGACCACCAACGACGAGACCGAAGACACCGAAGACGAUGAGGCCGCCGAGGCCGAGGACAUGUUUGAUGCGGAUGCUCCUUUGAUGUCCCCCACGGGCAGCCACAAUAGCUCGAAUAACAAUAACAACAGCAGCGGCAGCGGCAGCAACAACUGCAUCGCCAACAACAACAGCUGCGGCGGCGGCGGCAUUCGUCAAUCCAAUCCAUCGAGCAAUAUUAAUUUCGAUAAUUGCAAUGCGAAUGUCUACUGUGGUCAGCAGGCAAAGCAACUAGGGCCAAUUACCAGCGGCAACCAAACGUUAAAUUGUCCCACAUUGAACGCAAAUGCAAAUGCAAAUGCGAAUGCGAACCCGAAUCCGAAUCUGAAUCUGAACCCGAAUCCGAGUAGCCACACCACCAAUAGUCACUCCAGUAGCCAAGCGAAUGCGAAUGCGAAUCCCCCACCCAACACCACCAACAAUAUCACAGCAGCAACUUUAGUUGCAGGUGCAGCAGUAGCAGCAACUGGCACGGCAGCAACAUCAGCUGCCACCAACCUGCAACAAAAUCAAAACAUUUCCUCCAGCUUAGAGAUAAUCCUUUCGCCAAUUAUCCAAAGUAGUCGACGGUAAGUUUUAUUUUCAGUUCGUUUUCGUUUCGUUUCGGUUGCCGUUGUUCUGUUUGUUGAGUAGGUACAACCUAUUUUCUGUUUUCUGUAGCUAACAAGAAGUAAUACCGAUACCGACCUCUGACCUGCAUGCUAAAACCGAGAAACAACAGAAGUGACUUUUCCUUUAGAGGGAAAUGUAUGCAAAUUUUUUGCUACCCAGGUGGUUCAGCGUUGAGUUAUUGUGUCUAUCUGCUAUUGUUACGGAUUGCAUUGAAGUUCUAGCUUUGAGAUGUUGGCAAAAACAUAAUGAGUUGAAAGCCCUUUGUUCUGUUACCCCGAUUCGUUCUCCCCCGCCAAGCAUUAAACUUUAUUGAACAGCGCGGGAAAUUUAAAAGAACUCAACCCCAAAAACCAGAUACACGACAGCUCCUUUAAGUGUGCGAAAACAAAACGAAACGAAAACAUUAUAAAUUAUGUAUUAAUGUGCCCGUUAGGCCUACGCAACGCGGAAAUGUCGGGACCUCCCAGCUGCCAAUUUUCAAUUGCCUUUGGGCCAAGAUAACAAUCGACUUGGGGGCCAGGACAAUGGCAAAGCCUCUCAGGCAAACAUUCAUUUUCAUUUCAAUUUCGCUUGCCAGCUCCUUGCUUUCGUUCUGGAUUUACAUUUGAUUUGACUGGCUUUCCCCAUUUCCCCCAGUUUUGUGCCUCGACAUUUUUCCGCCUGGCGGGGCAGCACGGAAACGCACAAAUAUUUAUGUAAGCUAGGAAAUUCGACAGCCUCUUUACAAAUGAAUAGGUUAAUGUCAUCGGGGUGGAAUCUGCUCUUUUGUUUACGAGUCCAACUUGGGGCAAAUUGACUUUAAACAUGUCAAUUUAAAUUUUGGGACCCCCAUCCAGCCAGCCAGACAGCCAACCCAGCAGCCCUCAUUAACGGCCACCCGGAAAAGUAUGCUAUGGCAAACGUAGAAAUAUUACUCAUACGCCGCAUUGCACGCAGCCAUUGAAGCAACAAAACGACAAUUUCACAACAAAUUAACCAGCCAGCCAACCAAACAGCCAGCACUCGCAUAUCCGAGUGGAUGUGAAAGCCCGGGACAUUCAUUUCGAGCUGGGAAUUGCAAGUAAAUGACCUUCAAACUCGAUAAGCGAAAACAAAACAGGCGAAAGUGCUAAAAAUAUACAUAAUUUUCAGCACACGAAGACAAAGGUCCCUCGCACAUGCACACAUGAAAAUAUGAUAGGACACAAAACACACCCACAGUCACACAUUAAAGUAUAUGUGUGUGUUGCCGGGUGGGUAAAUGAUAUUUCUGCCGGCUCGAUGGCCCGAUGCCAAUGUUUCUGUGACUCCGACCCGCACAUAAAUACAAAUUUCAACAAAACAACAGGCCACAAAACAAAAAUAAACCCACAAAAAAAUAAGCGAUGAAAGCAAAAAGGCGCAGUGUUGGCAACAACAGGAGCAGCCAGUAAAAAGAACCAAAAAAAAAACAACCAGGCUAGGCAAACAUUUCAUAUCGUAGAAAUACUUUGGAGCCAAAUAAACAACAUUUUGUAGAAGCACAAAAAAGGCAUAACAAACAGUUGAAAGGGAAAAUGGUUGGCCCGAGGGGCUUAGAUGACCUCGGGUUACUCUCUAUUUGAUUAAGAUAAAUAUUUGAGGUCAGCCAAUAUUUGGAAAGUAUUUCGCUGGAAGUUGUUAGAAAUCAAAUGUGAAUAGAAUAUAUAUAAUAUAAAAUAAAUAGGAAAUACCAUGGCUUACAAUUGUUGAUCAAGUUUUGGAAGCUUUAACAAUAUCCAAUGGAUGCUUUAUAAAAAUGACCUUGCAACACUUCACAACUUAUAUGCAGUUCCCUUUGCAACACACAGCCCCAGCUUGGAAAGGGUAUUUCCACAAAGGGUCUGCGUGUUCGACCUUGGUACAACGACUGUUCUUGUUUUAGAUUAGAGCCCCCGGUCUCCCAACCCCUUGGCCCCUGGAAUUCGGCCAUUUGGAGCCCAUCGCGACUUGUAGCUAGGCCACACGCCACCAGCAACAAAGGGACUCGGGGAAACUUUACGCACUUUUGUCACAGAAAGAAAAUAGAAAACGAAAACGAAAGCGGUGGCGGUGGCGCAAGGAAAGUGCUGAAAAUGUGGAAAGUGCCCGAGUGGCAAUCGUAAAUUUGACGCACAUUUUUGCCCGAGGGCGGAGAGAUAAGCUUAUGAAUGGCUAUAUAAAAACUCACCCCAUUUCCACACAUAAUGUGGAGUGACUUUUUUCCAGGAUUUCUUUUUGGUUUAUGAUUAAAUUAAGUAAUUAUUUGUGGAGCGGCGCCAACUGAAAUGAUAAAAAGUAUUCAAUUUGUGGCAGUUGCUGCGAUAAAACUGAAUUUACUGCGGCCAUAAACUGCGUGGCGGCACUUGAACUAUAUUUUUGUAAAUUUAUUUCGAAUUGAAGAGCACCAUAACGCAUACGCACCGUAGUCGCUAGAACAAACUAACAAGCUAUACUCACAACCACACGCAUACAUAAACACAUACGCAUACACUUACACUCACACUUACAUUACCGAGCACUAGAGAACUUAAAUGAGAAAAUCGAAUCAACAAGGAAACUUUUUCUAACAUGUGCAAAUAUUUUCUCUCUUUCUCCCCCACCCCCGAAAACCCUCUUUUCUCCCCACUUUUAUUUUCAUGCCAUGCAAAUGCAACUACUACAAAACCACAAUGCAAACGGCAGAGCGCAAUUCCAAAGCCCGCCGACCAUGCCCCUGCAGCAGGAGUAAACUGCUCCUCGAACCCGCCGCCCACUGCAUUC
rnacentral:misc_RNA from 1 species